UUUCUUGCGGCGGCGGCGGCGGCGGCUGCAGGAGGAGGGAAAGCAGCUCCAGCUAUGACUGCCGCAUGUUAAUAGCUCCCGCUUGGGUCCACCGGCUGCAGCGAGAGACACAGCCUGACUCCGAAGUUGUGCAACUGUGCCCUGAGAGAGACAUUUGAACCCUCCUUCUCUUUGCUCCGCUUUUGCCCCCUGGGGCGUGUGAAGCGAGGAAACGUAAAGGAAGACUAGCAUUGGCUUUCCCUGCUUCCCCCUUCUCCAUGGCUGUGUAGAAGAAGAAAGGAAAGACACACUUUUUGUUGUUUCUUUGACUGGGGUCUCCACCCUCCUGUGGUCUCUGCGUUUUGAUUAUCAUUCGUUGCUUGGUGUGACUGGGGUGUCUACAGUGGGACAGGUCCAUCUUUUUUCUGGUUUCUUUUUCUUUCUUUCUUUCUUUUUUUUUUUCUUUCUUCUUUUUUUUUUUUUGCCCCGGGGCUCAAUGGAUGGAUUUUGGAAAACUGUACCGGGUUGCAGGUUGUUGAGCAACUGAUGGGACCAUCUCAGGGACCGGCGGUUACGAAAGAUGCUGAUUUGAAGAGCUGUCCUGAAAACUGAAAUGAUUAAUUCAGAAAGUCAGAAGACAAAGCUAUGGAUUUUUAGCAAUCACAGAG